ACUAGAUGUGGCUGUACCUUGGGUUAGGGGAUGCUACUCCUGGUAUGAAACUCCGCACAGGAGCCUCAUUGGUGCCUAAGGAACAUCUCGUUGGACAUUAUCAUGGGAGAUCACAGGACUGCUGAUAGUUCAAACUAGAGAUGAAGAUGUGGAAAGCAAGAUUCAAGCCAAACAAGAUAAAAACAGAACAGACAGAAAUAAAAGACUGCUGCCUCCAGGAACAGUGUUUAUUUCACAAGCAGAAUAGAAUUUAGGGUUUCUUGGGAUGAGUGUGGUGGUUCUUGUAAGGAAAUGGUAACUUGAAUAGUCUUCCUAUAUUGGGGGGGGUCAUCCCCUUUGACUGAGUGUAAACUUCAGGAGAGACACACAUUGACCAGUGAGUAAGGAGAGUGACACAUAACUAGUCAGUCUGCUCAGCAGAAUCAGCCCUGCCAAUAAAUCCAGUGACAGAUGUUGCAGGGUAGAGCUUCUGACAUCUAUAAUUUAAGACUGCUUAAGUCCAGAGGUUGAAGGCUUCAACUAAGGUUAGGAAUGAGAAAUAGUAUUGCUUAGCAACCAUGCUAUUUUUGUCUAUUACAGAAAUUGUGACUGCUAUGGUAGAAAGCUCAGUUAAGGUAGUUCGGGUAGGUAAACUAUCAAGUCCACCCUCUUCAAUCCCAGCCCCCUUUCCAUGCACAAUGUGUUCUAAGGAGAUGCUUCUUGGUAGCCUUAGAGACAGGCUCUUGAUGGGAAAGAUUAAAAAGUCACCUUUAUUUUGGCUGUAGGGGAGCCACAGAUACAAAGCAUAAAGAGAAUUGGAAGUUUUCCUAGUUGGGUUUAAUUGUUAAGUUGACACAGCCUGGACUCGUGUGGGAAGAAAGUCUUGAUUAAAGAACUGCUUGAAUCAAACUGGUUUGUGGGCAUGUUUGUGGGGGACUGUCUUGAUUAUUAACUGGUGAAGGAGGGACCAGCCUACAGUGGGAGGCACUAUCCUUAGACAAGUGAUCUUAGAUUAUAUAGAGGCUUGAUGAGCACUGACCAGACAGUGAGCCAGCAAGUCAUUCUCUUUGUGGUUCUUGCCUCCAGUUCAGGUACUCGCCUUGAUUCCCUGCCCUGAACAGUCUCUGUGAUGAAUUGUGAUGUGAAAGUGUAAGCCAAGAAAACCCUUUCUUUCCCAAGUUGUUUUUGAUCAGAACAUUUUAUUACAGCAAUGAAGAAAAAAAAAAAAAAAAAGCCAAAACAGAAGUGGUUUGCCAAAGGAUUUGAAACUCUAAUCACUUAAGUCUAUCAAGAAUUUUUUUCAGAACUAGAAGAGUUCAAACAAUUUCCAUCUUAAUACAGGAGAGUCACCAACUUCAGCUGAAACCCUUCCAGGAGAUGCAUGCAUAUCACCUUUUGCAGGGCGACUUCUACUGGUAAACAACCUUCAUCCUCUUGUGUUGAGGUAUUUUCCCCCAAGCCUACUACUAUUACCCUGCUAAAGGAACAUAUGCUAUACCCACAGGUCAGUGCAACACUCAACUGUCACCAGGGAAGCUUCUUCCUACAGGAGAUAGGAAUUAACACCAGGGCAACAUGCAGAGUGAGACUCUGGAGACUCAGUUCUGCACGGGACGUCCUGAUCAAAACCCUCAGCUCAUGGCUCAGGGAUCUCUACAGAGGAGGGAGCAGGAAGAGGUCUGUAGCUUUAGCCUAUCAAGGGAUUUACCAUCUUCAGUCUGUGGUCUAACGCAAUGGCUGUCACUCAGGAAAUUGGGUGAACGAACACUGGCUGACAAAAUUAACUGACAGAACGGGCAAC